rnacentral:rRNA from 1 species
UACGAAGGGGGCUAGCGUUGCUCGGAAUCACUGGGCGUAAAGCGCACGUAGGCGGAUUGCUAAGGUCAGGGGUGAAAUCCUGGAGCUCAACUCCCAGAACUGCCCUUGAUACUGGCGGUCUCGAGUCUGGGAGAGGUGAGUGGAACUGCGAGUGUAGAGGUGAAAUUCGUAGAUAUUCGCAAGAACACCAGUGGCGAAGGCGGCUCACUGGCCCGGUACUGACGCUGAGGUGCGAAAGCGUGGGGAGCAAACAGG